GGGUCGUUAGCUCAGUCGGUAGAGCAACCGCCUCUUAAGCGGUUGGUCGUGAGUUCAAGUCUCACACGACCCACAA
rnacentral:tRNA from 5 species